CAUCGUGAAUCCUUUCGUCUCCUCUUCUCUUCUCAUUUUUUUCACCCUCUCCUUCUCCCUCUCUAACCUGCAACCAUGACGUCGGCAUCGCCGCCUCCGCCUCAACCGCGUCCACGUCGCUCACCUUCCACGGCGCCGGCCUCCGCCUCGACCGCGUGCACGUCGCCCCGCCGCCCCUUGCCGCCAUCAACCUCCACCUUUGCCUCCGUCGCCGCCUCUGUCAGCUACCACGGCCAGCCGCCAUGCCAAUGACGCACCCAAAGACGCGCGGUCUUACUCACUAUUAUCACCCUAGCACUCAUCUACUGGUCAUCAUCAACAAACCAUACUUGGAUUCUUAAGUUGAAGAUUGCAACAACUUUACAUACAACAUCGUGGCCGUCUUGCUGGCACCGGCAAUGGUACUAUCACCAUCACCAUUAUCCAUGAGAUGGAAUUAUACAAUGAGGUAA